rfam:Triticum aestivum genome assembly, contig: Triticum_aestivum_CS42_TGACv1_scaffold_221217_3B
GGAGUACUCCCUCCGUUCGGAAUUACAUGUCACGAAAAUGGAUGAAUCUAGAAGUAUUUUAGUUCUAGAUGCAUCAUUUUUUAUCCAUUUCUCCGACGAGUAUUUCCGGACGGAGGGAGUAUCUG